GGGCAUCGCUAGAGCAAUUGUGGUUACAGCGCAGUACCAACCACAGAAGCUACUGAGGUGCUACUCUUUCCUGGCACAGUU
rnacentral:snoRNA from 14 species